rnacentral:rRNA from 1 species
AUACGUAGGGGGCGAGCGUUGUCCGGAAUGAUUGGGCGUAAAGGGCGCGUAGGCGGCCCGGUAAGUCUGGAGUGAAAGUCCUGUUUUUAAGAUGGGAAUUGCUUUGGAUACUGUCGGGCUUGAGUGCAGGAGAGGGAAGUGGAAUUCCCAGUGUAGCGGUGAAAUGCGUAGAGAUUGGGAGGAACACCAGUGGCGAAGGCGACUUACUGGACUGUAACUGACGCUGAGGCGCGAAAGUGUGGGGAGCAAACAGGAUUAGAUACCCUGGUAGUCCACACUGUAAACGAUGAAUGCUAGGUGUAAGAGGUAUCGACCCCUUUUGUGCCGGAGUCAACACAAUAAGCAUUCCGCCUGGGGAGUACGGCCGCAAGGUUGAAACUCAAAUGAAUUGACGGGG